GGAGAUAAAAGAAUAUUGAAUAAUUUGAUUACAGGUUAGAGGGAAAGUACAUAUCUACGCCAAAUAAAGUGGCCCCAUUUGGGAUUUCUACAGAAUAGAUCUUUUUAUAACUUUGGCAAGGUUAGUGAAAUGUAAUUUUAUUAAAAUGUUUACUUUUAGAAUAAUGAGAAAGUUACUUUGUUUUAAUUUUCAGGUGAUCAGUGAAGGUACUCUUGAAUUUGCUUUUUUCUUUAAAUUGACAAAGCAUUGCAAAUAAUUUAAAACAUCUGUAAUUCUGCAGUGAUAGUGCUGUAUAAUAUGUGGUUUAUAUUUGAAUUAAAAGUUUAUUUUUAAAUUGAUUUAGAGAUUUAUCUACUUGAAUAAAGUUAAUAAUUUGUAAAAUCCUUCAAAUAACAGAACACAGUAUAAAGAAUUUUUUCUAGGAAGUAUAAUUAUAGAUUUUGAUAGUUAUGUAAGUAUAUAACCUAAAUACUAUUUUAAUUAACAUUAAUUUGUUUCAUGACCUAG
rnacentral:lncRNA from 1 species